rnacentral:pre_miRNA from 1 species
ACUUCUCGGAGCGACCCGCUCGCCUGACUUUUGAGAGUACCCCUGUACUCAAGUCCCUGUUCGGGCGCCGAAUGUGGAUA